rnacentral:rRNA from 1 species
GAUUUCUGGCUUGGUACACCUGGCCCGCCACGGUUACGUGUGUGAGUGCCGGAGUGUGCCUGCCAUCCUUCUAGAGAACGUGCCUACCCUUCACUGGGCUGGGUACGCGAUCUAGAUCUUUUACUUUGAAAAAAUUAGAGUGUUUAAAGCAGGCUUAUGCUAUGAAUACAUUAGCAUGGAAUAAUAAUUUAGGACUUCGUUCCUAUUUUGUUGGUUUCUAGGGAUGAAGUAAUGAUUGAUAGGGAUAGUUGGGGGUGCUAGUAUUCAGUGGCCAGAGGUGAAAUUCUUGGAUUCACUGAAGACUAACUUAUGCGAAAGCAUU